rnacentral:ncRNA from 1 species
GAGAGCCGGAUACGCUGAAAGGUGUAAGUCCGGUUCGGGGGCAGACUCGGGGAAACCUACCGCAGAAAUGCGGCAAGGCGCCCCGGUGUCGAGCCUAC